rnacentral:rRNA from 1 species
CGUGGGGAUGCUACCAUGCAAGUCGAACGGUGUCUUCGGACAUAGUGGCGGACGGGUGAGUAACGCGUGAGAAUCUAUCUUCAGGUCUAGGACAACCACUGGAAACGGUGGCUAAUACUGGAUGUGCCGAAAGGUGAAAGGCUUGCUGCCUGAAGAUGAGCUCGCGUCUGAUUAGCUAGUUGGUGGGGUAAGAGCCUACCAAGGCGACGAUCAGUAGCUGGUCUGAGAGGAUGAUCAGCCACACUGGGACUGAGACACGGCCCAGACUCCUACGGGAGGCAGCAGUGGGGAAUUUUCCGCAAUGGGCGAAAGCCUGACGGAGCAAUACCGCGUGAGGGAGGAAGGCUCUUGGGUUGUAAACCUCUUUUCUCAUGGAAGAACACAAUGACGGUACCUGAGGAAUCAGCAUCGGCUAACUCCGUGCCAGCAGCCGCGGUAAUACGGAGGAUGCAAGCGUUAUCCGGAAUGAUUGGGCGUAAAGCGUCCGCAGGUGGCCUUGUAAGUCUGCUGUCAAAGAGCGAAGCUCAACUUCGUAAAGGCAGUGGAAACUACACGGCUAGAGUGCGUUCGGGGCAGAGGGAAUUCCUGGUGUAGCGGUGAAAUGCGUAGAAAUAAA